UUCGCAAUGCCCGAAAGGGUGACGAAGCGACGCCGCGUGGGUGAAGAAGGCCUUCGGGUUGUAAAGCCCUGUCAGGAGUUAUGAAAUGUAGGUGCGAUAAUACCGUGCCUAUUUGACAAAGGCUCCAAAGGAAGCCACGGCUAACUCUGUGCCAGCAGCCGCGGUAAUACAGAGGUGGCAAGCGUUGUUCGGGAUUAUUGGGCGUAAAGAGCACGUAGGUGGAUUUGUAAGUCAGGUGUGAAAGCCUUCUGUCCAACGGAAGAAUUGCAUCUGAAACUACAAACCUUGAGUGUAGGAGGGGAGGAUGGAACUUCUGGUGGAGCGGUGAAAUGCGUAGAUAUCAGAAGGAACGCCGGCGGCGAAAGCGAUUCUCUGGCCUAUUACUGACACUGAGUGUGCGAAAGCUAGGGGAGCAAACGGGACUAGAUACCCCGGUAGUCCUAGCCGUAAACGAUGGGCACUAAGUAGAGGGGUUUU
rnacentral:rRNA from 1 species